AUCCGGAAUCAUUGGGCGUAAAGCGCCUGUAGGUUGUUUAAUAAGUCCGUUGUUAAAGACUAGGGCUUAACCCUAGGAAAGCGAUGGAAACUGAUAGACUUGAGUAUGGCAGGGGUAGAGGGAAUUUCUAGUGUAGCGGUGAAAUGCGUAGAUAUUAGAAAGAACACCGGUGGCGAAAGCGCUCUACUGGACCAUUACUGACACUGAGAGGCGAAAGCUAGGGGAGCGAAAGGGAUUAGAUACCCCUGUAGUCCUAGCCGUAAACGAUGGAUACUAGAUGUUGUGCAAUUUGGACAGUAUCGUAGCUAACGCGUUAAGUAUCCCGCCUGGGGAGUACGCUCGCAAGGGUGAAACUCAAAGGAAUUGACGGGGGCCCGCACAAGCGGUGGAGCAUGUGGUUUAAUUCGAUGCAACGCGAAGAACCUUACCAGGGCUUGACAUACUACAGAUCUUUUUGAGAAAGAAGAGUGCCUUCGGGAAUGUAGAUACAGGUGGUGCAUGGCUGUCGUCAGCUCGUGUCGUGAGAUGUUGGGUUAAGUCCCGCAACGAGCGCAACCCUCGUUUUUAGUUGCCAAUUUAUUGGGAUCUCUAGAAAGACUGCCGGUGACAAACCGGAGGAAGGUGAGGAUGACGUCAAGUCAGCAUGCCCCUUAUGUCCUGGGCCACACACGUGCUACAAUGGUAAAGACAAAGAGUCGCCAAUUCGCGAGAAUGAACUAAUCUCAUAAACUUUAUCUAAGUUCGGAUUGUAGGCUGCAACUCG
rnacentral:rRNA from 1 species